rnacentral:rRNA from 1 species
AGUGAACGCUGGCGGUAGGCCUAACACAUGCAAGUCGAACGGCAGCACAGUAAGUUCUUUCUCUUACGGGUUGCGAGUGGCGGACGGGUGACGAAUACAUCGUACUCUACUUUUUCGUGGGACUCUUGGAAGGGAUACUUACGCUAACACCGCAUACGACGUACCGUGGAAUUCACGGGAUCUUCGCACUUUCCUCACUACAAGGAGCCGAUGUCGGAUUAGCUGGUUGGGGGGGUAAAGCCCCACCAAGGCGAGGCUCCGUAGCGGGUCGGUGAGGUUGUUCGCCCACACUGGAACGGGGACAGGGUCCAGAUCCCUACGGGAGGCAGCAGAGGGGAAUAUUGGACAUUGGGCGAAAGCCUGACCCAGCAAUACCGCGUGGGUGAGGAAGGCCUUCGGGUGGUAAAGCCCGUUUUUUGGGAAAGAAAAGUAGCAGGGUAAAACCCCGAUGUUCUGACGGUACCCAAAGAGAAAGCAACGGCUAACUACGUG